rnacentral:piRNA from 1 species
UUUAGGGAUAUGAAGAGGCAUUAAAGCUGU